UACGUAGGGUGCGAGCGUUAAUCGGAAUUACUGGGCGUAAAGCGCGCGUAGGCGGCCCGGUAAGUCCGUUGUAAAAGUCGAAGGCUCAACCUUCGAAAGCCGAUGGAUACUGCCGGGCUAGAGUCCGGAAGAGGCGAGUGGAAUUCCUGGUGUAGCGGUGGAAUGCGCAGAUAUCAGGAGGAACACCCAUAGCGAAGGCAGCUCGCUGGGACGGUACUGACGCUGAGGCGCGAAAGCGUGGGGAGCGAACAGG
rnacentral:rRNA from 1 species